CAAUAGCGUAUAUUAAAGUUGUUGCAGUUAAAAAGCUCGUAGUUGGAUUUCUGGUGGGAGCGAUCGGUCUGGCGCUUAGCGCGAGUACUUGCAUCGUCUCCGGCCAUCCUUGGGGAGAGUCUGUCUGGCAUUAAGUUGUCGGGCAGAGGAUCCUCAUCGUUUACUGUGAAAAAAUUAGAGUGUUCAAAGCAGGCUUAUGCCGUUGAAUAUAUUAGCAUGGAAUAAUAAGAUAGGACUUUGGUACUAUUUUGUUGGUUUGCGCACCAAAGUAAUGAUUAAUAGGGACAGUUGGGGGUAUUCGUAUUCCGUUGUCAGAGGUGAAAUUCUUGGAUUUACGGAAGACGAACUACUGCGAAAGCAUUUACCAAGGAUGUUUNCAUUG
rnacentral:rRNA from 1 species